rnacentral:rRNA from 1 species
UACGUAGGGUGCGAGCGUUGUCCGGAAUUACUGGGCGUAAAGAGCGCGUAGGUGGUUUGUCGCGUUGUUCGUGAAAUCUCACGGCUUAACUGUGAGCGUGCGGGCGAUACGGGCAGACUGGAGUACUGCAGGGGAGACUGGAAUUCCUGGUGUAGCGGUGGAAUGCGCAGAUAUCAGGAGGAACACCGGUGGCGAAGGCGGGUCUCUGGGCAGUAACUGACGCUGAGGAGCGAAAGCGUGGGGAGCGAACAGG